AGUGAACGCUGGCGGUAGGCCUAACACAUGCAAGUCGAACGGCAGCACAGUAAGAGCUUGCUCUUACGGGUGGCGAGUGGCGGACGGGUGAGGAAUACAUCGGAAUCUACUUUUUCGUGGGGGAUAACGUAGGGAAACUUACGCUAAUACCGCAUACGACCUACGGGUGAAAGCAGGGGAUCUUCGGACCUUGCGCGAUUGAAUGAGCCGAUGUCGGAUUAGCUAGUUGGCGGGGUAAAGGCCCACCAAGGCGACGAUCCGUAGCUGGUCUGAGAGGAUGAUCAGCCACACUGGAACUGAGACACGGUCCAGACUCCUACGGGGGGCAGCAGUGGGGAAUAUUGGACAAUGGGCGCAAGCCUGAUCCAGCCAUACCGCGUGGGUGAAGAAGGCCUUCGGGUUGUAAAGCCUUUUUGUUGGGAAAGAAAAGCAGCAGGUUAAUACCCCGCUGUUCUGACGGUACCCAAAGAAUAAGCACCGGCUAACUUCGUG
rnacentral:rRNA from 1 species